AAGGUAGUAGGUUAAAUUAAAAACCUUCACCGUUCAAUUGUGAAAAUAAUAAUUAAUUCUACCUUU
rnacentral:tRNA from 1 species